rnacentral:tRNA from 2 species
GUCAGUUUGGCCGAGUGGUUUAAGGCGCCAGACUUGAAACUAUAUAAAGUUAUCUGGUGGGAUUUUCCCGCGUAGGUUCAAAUCCUGCAGCUGACG